rnacentral:rRNA from 1 species
GACGAACGCUGGCGGCGUGCCUAACACAUGCAAGUCGAACGGAAAGGCCCUGCUUUUGUGGGGAGGUGGAGUGGCGAAGGGGUGAGCAACACGUGAGUAAGCCGUACCUGACCUAGGGAUAUCCUAAGGAAACAGGGGCUAUUAUGAGAUAGGAGUUAUUGCCGCUUGGUGGGGGCUGGAAAGAUUCGGCGGUUGGGGAUGGACUAGCGGCUUAUGGGCUUGUUGGAGAGGUAGUGGCAUACCAUGGUUUUGACGGAUAGCCGGCCUGAGAGGGUGACCAGCCACAUUAGGACUGAGAUACGGCCCAGACUCGUACGGGAGGCAGCGGUGGAGAAUAUUGCACAGUGGGCGGAAGCCUGAUGCGGCAACGCCGCGUGCGGGAUGACAGCCUUCGAGUUGUAAACCGCUUUCGCCUGUAACGAAGCGUUAGUGACGGUAAUGGGUAAAAAAGCACCGGCUAACUACGUG